rnacentral:rRNA from 1 species
AGUGAACGCUGGCGGCAGGCCUAAUACAUGCAAGUCGAACGGCAGCACAGCAGAGCUUGCUCUGUGGGUGGCGAGUGGCGGACGGGUGAGGAAUACAUGGGAAUCUGCCCAGUCGUGGGGGAUAACGUAGGGAAACUUACGCUAAUACCGCAUGCGCCCUUCGGGGGAAAGCCGGGGACCGUAAGGCCUGGCGCGAUUGGAUGAGCCAUGUCGGAUUAGCUAGUUGGCGGGGUAAAGGCCCACCAAGGCGACGAUCCGUAGCUGGUCUGAGAGGAUGAUCAGCCACACUGGAACUGAGACACGGUCCAGACUCCUACGGGAGGCAGCAGUAGGGAAUAUUGGACAAUGGGCGCAAGCCUGAUCCAGCCAUGCCGCGUGAGU